AUUUCUAUAAAACUUGGGGUCCGUUGAUUAAACAUUUUUUUGUUUUUUUGAUGGAAACCAAUUUAAUCUCAAUGGCUUGUACCGGGCAAAAGUCGUUUCAAGGUAGCUGUGAGUUUCCCUGCUGCUGGAUCAUUA
rnacentral:rRNA from 1 species